rnacentral:rRNA from 1 species
UACAGAGGUCUCGAGCGUUGUUCGGAUUCAUUGGGCGUAAAGGGCGCGUAGGCGGCGGGGUAAGUCUGGUGUGAAAUCUCGGAGCUCAACUCCGAAAUUGCACUGGAUACUGCUCUGCUAGAGGGCUGGAGAGGAGAUCGGAAUUCGCGGUGUAGCAGUGAAAUGCGUAGAUAUCAGGAGGAACACCGGUGGCGAAGGCGGGAUCCUGGGCCAGUACUGACGCCGAGGAGCGAAAGCGUGGGGAGCAAACAGG